rnacentral:rRNA from 1 species
GACGAACGCUGGCGGCGUGCUUAACACAUGCAAGUCGAACGGAAAGGCCCUGCUUUUGUGGGGUGCUCGAGUGGCGAACGGGUGAGUACACGGGAGUAACCUGCCCCUGACUUUUGGUUAACUUCAUGGAACCGGGGCUAAUACCGGUAAGGAGCUCCUGCUGCCUGGUGGGGGUUGGAAAGUUUCGGCGGUUGGGGAUGGACUCGGGGCUUAUCAGCUUGUUGGUGGGGUAGUGGCUUACCAAGGCGUUGACGGGUAGCCGGCCUGAGAGGGGGACCGGCCACAUUGGGCCUGCGAUACGGCCCAGUCUCCUACGGGCGGCAGCAGUGGGGAAUAUUGCACAGUGGGCGGACGCCUGAUGCAGCGACGCCGCGUGCGGGAUGACGGCCUUCGGGUUGUAAACCGCUUUCGCCUGUGACGAAGCGUGAGUGACGGUAAUGGGUAAAGAAGCACCGGCUAACUACGUG